AUGAGCCGCGGAGCUGAAGGGCCGGCGAGGUCUCACCCGACGGCUGGGCGUGUGGCCUGCAGAGCCCAGAGAGGACACGGGAGCUGCGGCCGCGUGGCCUGUGUGGACGAGCCCACGGGGCGGGGGGACAGUGCCACGAUGGUGCCCGCAGCCCCCGACGCCUGCCACCAGCUGGUUCCUCGCCACCUACUCUCACCUCGGCCCCGUAAGACCGCGGGAUGCUGUCCCCGUAUUGCAGAGAGAGAAACUGAGGCUCGCCUGGGCUCACGGAGCUGCCAGGGCAGCGGGGGCGCGAACCAGCUCCGUCGGCUGCCGAGGUCCUCCGCGUCGGCCGCAGCAGAGGGAGAGCAGCCGCGGGACCCCAGGGCUCACGGGCCCCGUCCCCGCGUGUGCAGGUGCAGGAGCCACAGGUGCCCGCCGGGGCGGCCGGGGGCGUCUCCUCCAGGCACAGGGGACCCCACCCUUGGGGGGCAGGAGGAUAGGGGGGCCAUGGGCGUGCGGACCCCAGUCCAAGAGCUGAGUCGUGCAGCGGAGCCCGCCCACCCUGCCAGCCGACCACAGGGGCCCGCGGCCCUCGGGGAGAGAGCGGUGGCGGCGCUGGGAGCCUCCUGGGCCUUGACGACUCGCAUGGGCGCCGCCUCCCCACCUGCUCCCACGUGAAUGUUAUCCUCUCAUCCCGAGCGAAAUCAGCCACACGCCGGCAGCUUAUUUUUAAUUGCUUCCAAAUACGCAUCCUAAUUACGACGCGGGUCUAAAUCGGAGGUGAUGGCAGGAGCCGCGCGGCGGCUUCGGGGACACGAGGAGUGAGGAUCACACGCUCCCGUCCCCACAGCCGCCUCGGGGACCCCGAGUCCUCGCCUCCCGCCCAGUGUUUUGUCUCCUCUUGUAGCUGCUCUAAUAACUACAUCAGGCCAGAGCGCAGAGCGCGGAGCUGACACCUUCCAUAAAGCCGCCGCGGAGAUCGGGCCCCGGGGAGGCCCGGCUGACGGGCAGGAGAGAAAUGGAACACGGCGUGGAAGCGGCCGGUGCGUCCGGGCGGCGCGGGUGGGAGCGGGCACGUGUGCGCAGGCGCCGCGCCAUCCAGGAGCUGCCGUCACCCGAGGGCGCCUUCCCCACGCACCCCACUGCGGCGGCCCCGGGUCACCCCAGCCCGCCCGCGUCGGUGGCCGUCCAGCUAAGGCCUCCUGGCACCGCGAGCCUUAGUUUGCAGCGGGCGGAGGGCGGGCAGUGGGGGGGCCUCUGAGAAUCAAUAAAAACUGUGAAUUCUCCCCCCUGAAAAAUGUG
rnacentral:lncRNA from 12 species